rnacentral:rRNA from 1 species
CACGUAGGGCGCAAGCGUUGUCCGGAAUUAUUGGGCGUAAAGCGCACGUAGGUGGUCUGUUAUGUCAGAUGUGAAAGCCCUCGGCUUAACUGAGGAAGUGCACCUGAAACUGGCAGGCUUGAGUACGAAAGAGGGUCGCGGAAUUCCCGGUGUAGAGGUGAAAUUCGUAGAUAUCGGGAGGAACACCGGUGGCGAAGGCGGCGACCUGGUUCGAUACUGACACUGAGGUGCGAAAGCGUGGGGAGCAAACAGG